UACGGGGGGGGGCAAGCGUUGUUCGGAAUUACUGGGCGUAAAGCGCACGUAGGCGGCUUUGUAAGUUAGAGGUGAAAGCCCGGAGCUCAACUCCGGAACUGCCUUUAAGACUGCAUCGCUUGAACGUCGGAGAGGUAAGUGGAAUUCCGAGUGUAGAGGUGAAAUUCGUAGAUAUUCGGAAGAACACCAGUGGCGAAGGCGACUUACUGGACGACUGUUGACGCUGAGGUGCGAAAGCGUGGGGAGCAAACAGG
rnacentral:rRNA from 1 species